GUGAAAUUGUUGAAAGGGAAACGCUUGAAGUCAGUCGCGUCUUUCAGGACUCAGCCUUGCCUCGGCUUGGUGUACUUCCUGUUUGACGGGCCAGCAUCAAUUUUGACCAGUGGAAAAAGGCAGAGGGAAUGUGGCACCUCCGGGUGUGUUAUAGCCCUCUGUUGUAUACACUGGUUGGGAUUGAGGACCGCAGCACGCCUUUAUGGCCGGGGUUCGCCCACGUAACGUGCUUAGGAUGCUGGCGUAAUGGCUUUAAACGACCCGUCUUGAAACACGGACCAAGGAGUCA
rnacentral:rRNA from 1 species